rnacentral:rRNA from 1 species
UGAGUAAUCUGCCCUUCACUCAGGGAUAACUUCCAGAAAUGGGUGCUAAUACCUGAUAUGACUCACCGGCGCAUGUUGGUGGGUGGAAAGUUUUUUCGGUGGGGAUGUGCUCGCGGCCUAUCAGCUUGUUGGUGGGGUAAUGGCCUACCAAGGCUUUGACGGGUAGCCGGCCUGAGAGGGUGACCGGCCACACUGGGACUGAGACACAGCCCAGACUCCUACGGGA